AGAGAGGGGUGUGGAUUGCGGUGGCGGUGGCGCGCCUCGCCGAGGUGGAUGGGGAGAGGAGGGAGAAGUAGAUCUCACGGGCAACUGCGUCUCCUCCAGGCCCGGCCUUGGAAGCUCGCGGGUCGACGGGGAAGUGAUGAGGCGGAGGAAGCCCCGGCGGCGUCGUUGUAGCUGAGAUUGGGGAGGAAGCGCCGGAGACUGGAUGAGCCUAGCUGCGUCGUUCUCCAUGAAGCACCAACCGCAGGGAUCGACGGCCGCGUCGGCGGCUGCGGAGGGAUCCUUCGUGGGGGAGCCGGAUGGGGACGCCCUGCGGCGGUGGGUGCUGGCCUUCUGCGUCAUCAGGUUCGACCUGGAGCAAGGGCAGGUGGUGGAGGAGUGCUACCCACCGGGGGCUCUCCCUCCGUCCGAUGAGCUCUGCGUCGCAUUUAGCUCCUUCCCCGAUUCCAUGUCUCACCACCAGCACCGCAGCCGGUCCAGCAUCCACGACUCCAUCUUCUUCUUCCGCAUUCGCUCCGCCUCUGCGUCGGCCUCCGGCGGCUUCUUGUA
rnacentral:lncRNA from 1 species